rnacentral:rRNA from 1 species
GUGGGGAAUAUUGGACAAUGGGCGCAAGCCUGAUCCAGCCAUGCCGCGUGAGUGAUGAAGGCCCUAGGGUUGUAAAGCUCUUUCACCGGUGAAGAUAAUGACGGUAACCGGAGAAGAAGCCCCGGCUAACUUCGUGCCAGCAGCCGCGGUAAUACGAAGGGGGCUAGCGUUGUUCGGAAUUACUGGGCGUAAAGCGCACGUAGGCGGAUAUUUAAGUCAGGGGUGAAAUCCCGAGGCUCAACCUCGGAACUGCCUUUGAUACUGGGUAUCUAGAGUCCGGAAGAGGUGAGUGGAAUUCCGAGUGUAGAGGUGAAAUUCGUAGAUAUUCGGAGGAACACCAGUGGCGAAGGCGGCUCACUGGUCCGGUACUGACGCUGAGGUGCGAAAGCGUGGGGAGCAAACAGGAUUAGAAACCCGAGUAGUCC